GACGAACGCUGGCGGCGUGCCUAAUACAUGCAAGUCGAACGAGAGCGACCGGUGCUUGCACUGGUCAAUCUAGUGGCGAACGGGUGAGUAACACGCGGGUAACCUGCCCAUCAGAGGGGGAUAACAUCCGGAAACGGAUGCUAAAACCGCAUAGGUCUUCGAGCCGCAUGGCUUGAAGAGGAAAAGAGGCGCAAGCUUCUGCUGAUGGAUGGACCCGCGGUGCAUUAGCUAGUUGGUGAGGUAACGGCUCACCAAGGCCGUGAUGCAUAGCCGACCUGAGAGGGUGAUCGGCCACAUUGGGACUGAGACACGGCCCAAACUCCUACGGGAGGCAGCAGUAGGGAAUCUUCCGCAAUGGACGCAAGUCUGACGGAGCAACGCCGCGUGAGUGAAGAAGGUUUUCGGAUCGUAAAACUCUGUUGUUAGAGAAGAACAAGUGCUAGAGUAACUGUUAGCGCCUUGACGGUAUCUAACCAGAAAGCCACGGCUAACUACGUG
rnacentral:rRNA from 1 species